CUUUAUUACUGCUAUACUAACUAUUGAAUUCUUCACUAAAACGAUAAUGUGCUCACAUUUAUAGGGUAGAGUAUCAACUUCCAAACCUCAUAGUUGGUGCAAUAAUAAAAGAAAGCCUCUAUAAUGCUUUUGAAAAUGGCAUUACUGCGGAGCAGAUAGUUACAUUCCUUCAGCAGAACGCACAUCCUCGAGUUGCUGAGAAAAUACCAUCGGUACCUGAAAAUGUCACGGAUCAGAUAAGAUUGUGGGAAACUGAUUU